GGAACUGCUGGGACAUUCAAUUGCUUAAGCAAUUAAUUACUGGGCAGAAAUGGAAGGCUGUAUGUUCUCAUGGGUGACUCCCUGCAAGUGUUAGAAGUUAUGGCAACUAACUGCAAGAUGAACCUUUAUGAAUCUUAUUCAUAAAUGUAAUAACUGAUGGCAACUGCUCACAUAUGAAUAUUGAGUGGGGAACUUGCAGGAGAGCUUGGAGAGAUCUAGCGGGAGUUGCAAUGGGGAGAGCCUUUUCUAGGACCUUCUCAAGGAGGACAAGCUAACAUUUGCUACUCUGCCUCCUGCAGCUCAAAUUGGAGGGACUGAAACUGAUGACAUCAGCUUGAAUAUUGAGAUGGAGCCUGAAGGGGACCUUUCUGACAUGCUGCAAGCAGCGUUGGCUACUGAUGGGAAUGCUGCCUCCACAUAUUUCCUGAUACUAAGGUUCUGCAGUUCUCCAUAGAGAGAGAGGAAAGGCUGCUGACCUGGUGCCUGAAGUUGUGAGUAGAGCCUGGAGCUGUGAU
rnacentral:lncRNA from 1 species